UGAUAUGGUUAAUUUUGCAUUUAAAAAUAGAAAAAUAUACGGAUUAUUUAAUAACACAUUAUAUAAACAUUAAUGCAAAUAAGAGAUGAAGAAAGCGAUAAACACUUCCUAAUAAAUAUUAAUUAUUCGAAGAAAACACUUAAUUGAGAAAAAUUACUUAUAUAAUAAUAAUAUGCCUUCAUUGAAAACCAACAAGGGACGAAGUACGAACAUCUGCUCUUCCACUUAAUCCCUAUUUCGAGAGAGUUAAACACAAAUACCAAAUUACUAAUAAACCAAAAAAAGAAAAGCAGCAAUAACCAUAAUAAUAAUAACAAGAGCAAGGACAUUAGCACAAAAAAGUGAAAAGUUGACGUUUAAAAUAUCUUUUAAAUAAAUUGAAAGAUCUAGUACUAGUGAUAAUGGGUGUAUUACUACAAGUCUUGGCAAUCAAAUAGGAGAAAGACCUUCAGGAAGCAUGUCUUGGAAUUGUUAAAACGUGUUUCCGUCGAAUAUUCACAUUGUUAACAUCUGUUCAUUUAAUUUCUUAGCCAGAUGAGGUGGAUACUUAUAGUUAAUUACUUUGAAGUACAAUGAAGCAUGGUGCAACUUACGUCUCUGUUGCAUAUUUAACCAACCGCUGUCCAUCAAAGUAUGUGAUAUAUUUCCUUUUGCUAUGGAUCAUCCUUAAACAACAAUUUUGAAGUUUCUGUAUCCGGCAGGCAGUCACCCUUGUAAGAUUAGGAGCAUACACCAACAAAGAUGUGUUCUUAAUUCUUUAUUCAGCACAUGCCUAUUCUGCUAACAACAACUUUUAAGGGUUAAGAUUCAAAUUAUGCUCUAUACAUAGGUUAGACAAAGCCCGUGUGUCCUCAUUAAGUAUCCUUUUCCACAUCCAAUGGGGGAAAAUGCUUUUGUGGCAAAUGUAUUUUACAAUGUUAUAAACAGUAUGAAUAUCAGCAGUAUACAGAGCAAAUAAGAGAGGACCAAAGACCGAGCCUUGUGGUACAUCAAACCCUUUUAUAACCUUUCGCAUAACCUCACUUUUUAGGGCGGUACUAAAACGAUCAAAAAAUAAUGUAUA